AACAUCCGCCAAAGCCACGUCAAGCCAAAACCUAUUUAAAUGUCAGUUCCUCGUAUCAAUUUGGUCAUUCUCUACAGACAUGCAUUGCACAGUUGCUGCAUUUUCGAAGAGUCAGCCCGACUAACAAUUCUGGGCCACGAGGUGGACCAACUGAAGAAGCAUGAAGUGUGUGCAUGUCUUCUGAUGGACUAAAUUUGACAGAUUUCACAGUUCAGGUGCCAAGAACUAAGAAUAAGAGGUUGCUUUGGAGUUUCCUGUGCAUCUUCUGUAUGAUAUGAAGGUUGUUUUUGGGUAAUAGCCUGCUGGACUUCAACCCACAGGAGCUGCUGGACCAACAGCCUAGGAUGUUGCUGCUGCAAAUAUUCUGUCGGCCGUGCAUCUCUAGUACUACUGCUACUGCCAAAUUGCAAGCGAUAUCGUCUUUUUAAAGGCUAGAAACAGGAUGGCUCAGUGAUUCAACUCUCGGUCUUCUGGAAUCCCCUUUAUCCUUAGCAGGUCGUACCUAGCUGUCGUGACAUGGUUGACGUUAACGAUCAGUUUCAGCCUUUCAGGUCAUUACUUCGCAGCUUCAUCUGUCACUACCUUACAGCGUACGAUGCAUAUACGUGUGGAAUGUUUUCAGGUUGGUAGAAGUUUGUUGGUAUACCCCACUAAUUAAGCCGAUUGAUUAAGUCCAUAACUGGCUAUUCUUUGGUAUACGGUGGGAACAGUAAAUGCUAUUCCGUGUAAGGUCUUCUACCCAAUUGCUUGGUGGGAUAUCUAAGGGUUGAAUCAGCCAUAUAUUAUAAUAAGUUAAUUGUUGUAUUCGUAUUCUUGCUUUCAGUUGUUAGGAGACUGCUAUUCUUCCGUGGAACGUUGUCCGAGUCGGUGUCUAGCUCAUUCUUGGAUAUCCUUUCAUUGUUGAAAUUAAAAUUUUGAAGUUACAUAAUUCAUCAGUUUAUUUUUUGCAUGAAAACUUUGUUUCUCAAAUACAAAUUUCAGUGAGUUUCUAAA